rnacentral:rRNA from 1 species
CGCGGACUUCGGUUUUCGAGAUAGUGGCGCACGGGUGCGUAACACGUAUGCAACCUACCUUGUUCAGGGGGAUAGCCCGGCGAAAGUCGGAUUAAUACCGCAUAACAUAUAGAUAACACCUGUUAUUUAUAUCAAAGCUGAGGCGGAACAAGAUGGGCAUGCGUCUCAUUAGCUAGUUGGUGAGGUAAUGGCUCACCAAGGCCACGAUGAGUAGGGGAUCUGAGAGGAUGACCCCCCACACUGGUACUGAGACACGGACCAGACUCCUACGGGAGGCAGCAGUAAGGAAUAUUGGUCAAUGGAGGCAACUCUGAACCAGCCAUGCCGCGUGCAGGAAGACGGCCCUAUGGGUUGUAAACUGCUUUUAUACCGGAGAAAACCCCCAUUUGCGAAUGGGGUUGAUAGUACGGUAAGAAUAAGGAUCGGCUAACUCCGUGCCAGCAGCCGCGGUAAUACGGAGGAUCCAAGCGUUAUCCGGAUUUAUUGGGUUUAAAGGGUGCGUAGGCGGCCUAUUAAGUCAGUGGUGAAAGACAUCCGCUUAACGGAUGCAGUGCCAUUGAUACUGAUGGGCUUGAGUACAGAUGAGGUGGGCGGAAUGUGACAAGUAGCGGUGAAAUGCAUAGAUAUGUCACAGAACACCAAUUGCGAAGGCAGCUCACUAAGUUGUAACUGACGCUGAGGCACGAAAGCGUGGGGAUCAAACAGGAUUAGAUACCCUGGUAGUCCACGCCCUAAACGAUGAUCACUCGCUGUGUGCGAUAUACAGUACGCGGCUUAGCGAAAGCGUUAAGUGAUCCACCUGGGGGAGUACGUCCGCAAGGAUGAAACUCAAAGGAAUUGACGGGGGCCCGCACAAGCGGAGGAGCAUGUGGUUUAAUUCGAUGAUACGCGAGGAACCUUACCCGGGCUUGAAAGUUA